rnacentral:rRNA from 1 species
CUGGCUCAGGAUGAACGCUGGCGGCGUGCUUAACACAUGCAAGUCGAACGAAGCAAUUUUCUACGAUCCCUUCGGGGUGACGGAUUAUUGACUGAGUGGCGGACGGGUGAGUAACGCGUGGGUAACCUACCUGUACAGGGGGACAACAGAUGGAAACGACUGCUAAUACCGCAUAAGCGCACAGCAUCGCAUGAUGCAGUGUGAAAAGUUUUUUCGGUACAAGAUGGACCCGCGUCUGAUUAGCUAGUUGGUGAGGUAACGGCCCACCAAGGCGACGAUCAGUAGCCGACCUGAGAGGGUGACCGGCCACAUUGGGACUGAGACACGGCCCAAACUCCUACGGGAGGCAGCAGUGGGGAAUAUUGCACAAUGGGCGAAAGCCUGAUGCAGCCGACGCCGCGUGAGCGAAGAAGUAUUUCGGUAUGUAAAGCUCUAUCAGCAGGGAAGAUAAUGACGGUACCUGACUAAGAAGCACCGGCUAAAUACGUGCCAGCCGCCGC